GAUGAACGCUGGCGGCGUGCUUAACACAUGCAAGUCGAACGGUGAACACGGAGCUUGCUCUGUGGGAUCAGUGGCGAACGGGUGAGUAACACGUGAGCAACCUGCACCUGACUCUGGGAUAAGCGCUGGAAACGGCGUCUAAUACUGGAUAUGUGACGUGACCGCAUGGUCUGCGUUUGGAAAGAUUUUUCGGUUGGGGAUGGGCUCGCGGCCUAUCGGCUUGUUGGUGAGGUAAUGGCUCACCAAGGCGUCGACGGGUAGCCGGCCUGAGAGGGUGACCGGCCACACUGGGACUGAGACACGGACCAGACUCCUACGGGAGGCAGCAGUGGGGAAUAUUGCACAGUGGGCGCAAGCCUGAUGCAGCAACGCCGCGUGAGGGAUGACGGCCUUCGGGUUGUAAACCUCUUUUAGCAGGGAAGAAGCGAAAGUGACGGUACCUGAAGAAAAAGCGCCGGCUAACUACGUG
rnacentral:rRNA from 1 species